CUCCUCAAGAAUUAAUUUGAGGUAUAGCCUGCUCUAUGAAUUUAUUUAAAUGGCCGCGGUAUUCUGACCGUGCGAAGGUAGCAUAAUCAUUAGUCUUUUAAUUGAAGGCUGGUAUGAAUGGCUGGACGAGAAAAUUUCUGUCUCUGUUAUAAAUUUUGAAUUUGAUUUUUAAGUGAAAAAGCUUAAAUAUUUUUGGGGGACGAUAAGACCCUAUGGAUCUUUAUAAUGAUGAUUAAUAAAAAGUUUAGAAGUUACAGCUUUUUACUCUAAGUUAUUGGGUUGGGGCGACUGGAAGAAAAGAAUAUCUCUUCUUAAAAAUAAAUAUUAUUUAUAGAAUUAAAAAUGACCCUAAAUUUUGGUUUAGCAGAUCAAGUUACCCUAGGGAUAACAGCGUAAUCUUUUUGGAGAGUUCAUAUCGAUGAAAAGGUUUGCGACCUCGAUGUUGGAUUAAGAGAUCUUGCGGCGCAGCAGUUGCGGAGGAAAGUCUGUUC
rnacentral:rRNA from 1 species